AUUGAACGCUGGCGGCAGGCCUAACACAUGCAAGUCGAACGAGUGGCGGACGGGUGAGUAAUGUCUGGGAAACUGCCUGAUGGAGGGGGAUAACUACUGGAAACGGUAGCUAAUACCGCAUACCAUCAGAUGUGCCCAGAUGGGAUUAGCUUGUUGGUGGGGUAACGGCUCACCAAGGCGACGAUCCCUAGCUGGUCUGAGAGGAUGACCAGCCACACUGGAACUGAGACACGGUCCAGACUCGUACGGGAGGCAGCGGUGGGGAAUAUUGCAACAUGGGCGCAAGCGUGAGACAGCCAUGCGGCGUGUAAGAGGCAGGCCUUCUGGUUGUAGAGUACUUUAAGCGGGGCGGCGUUACCCGCAGAAGAAGCACCGGCUAACUCCGUGCCAGCAGCCGCGGUAAUAC
rnacentral:rRNA from 1 species